rnacentral:rRNA from 1 species
UACAGAGGUCCCAAGCGUUGUUCGGAUUCAUUGGGCGUAAAGGGUGCGUAGGUGGCGCCGUAAGUCGGGUGUGAAAUUUCGGAGCUUAACUCCGAAACUGCAUUCGAUACUGCGGUGCUUGAGGACUGGAGAGGAGACUGGAAUCAUGGUGUAGCAGUGAAAUGCGUAGAGAUCAUGAGGGAAGACCAGUGGCGAAGGCGGGUCUCUGGACAGUUCCUGACACUGAGACACGAAGGCCAGGGGGAGCAAACGGG